rnacentral:rRNA from 1 species
GUGAACCUGCGGAAGGAUCAUUAAAGAGAUAGGGUCUUCAUGGCCCGACCUCCAACCCUCUGUUGUUAUAACUACCUUGUUGCUUUGGCGGGACCGUCUCGGUCUCCGAGCGCACUAACCCUCGGGUUGGUGAGCGCCCGCCAGAGUCCAACCAAACUCUUGUAUUAAACCAGUCGUCUGAGUAUAAAAUUUUAAUUAAAUUAAAACUUUCAACAACGGAUCUCUUGGUUCUCGCAUCGAUGAAGAACGCAGCGAAAUGCGAUAAGUAAUGUGAAUUGCAGAAUUCAGUGAAUCAUCGAAUCUUUGAACGCACAUUGCGCCCCUUGGUAUUCCGAGGGGCAUGCCUGUUCGAGCGUCAUUACACCACUCAAGCAUCGCUUGGUAUUGGGAACGGUCCGUCGAAAGGCGGGCCUUCCUCGAAGACCUCGGCGGGGUUCAACCAACUUCGGGCGUAGUAGAGUUAAAUCGAACGUCUUAUAAGCUUGGUCGGAUCUCAUUGCCGUUAAACCU